AACCAAAGUAAAAUUAAUCAAACAACGCAAAGAAAUAUUUUCCAAUUAAACUCUUUACACUUUUUUGUUUGCCUUUUCAUCUUCAAAAAGGAUGCAUUUAUGCGUAACUUAAUAAUUUUCCUUUCAAGCACUUUUUUUCUUAAGUAAUUACACGAUCAUUAACUAAAGCUUCAUAAUAAUUAAAAAAUUUUUUAGUUUGAUUACGUUUUGAUUAUUGGGAGAUGUGCUCGUUCUUAAUUCUCAAACUCUCCUUAAAUUGUUAUUAUUAAUAUUUUAAGAAUGUUUAAAGUUUAUAUGUAUAUGUCUACCACCGAGGAAACGCAAUAUAUAUGUAUAUGUGUUUACGCUACUUAUUUGUGUGUUUGUUAUUAUUUGUGACAUCCUAACUAAAAAAAUCUUUGGAAAAGCGCACUACAACUUGGGGAAAUGGAAGAGCUACCGUUCACAUGAAGCGCACCACCUUUUAUUUCUUUCUUUUUUGAAUUCCUAAUAAACACGCAUACGUCUGUACAAUGAUACGAAACUAAAGUUGAAUAGAAAGAACUUAAAUUGGAUUACAAUUACGAUGCUUGGAAAAAAGUUUCACUUGCUUGCGUUUAUUGCUUUACUUUAUCUUCCUCUGCCUCUAAAAUAUUUUCUCAUUUUAAGUUAAUGUUUUUGUGCUAGUGUUUGCACUUCAAACUCUAAUCCGUGCUACUUAACUGAAACAGAUUCAAGAUUUAACGAUUUCCACCGAAUAUUAAUCGGGCUAACACUAUUUCCGGCUUCAAAAAUUUGGAUACGUAACAAUGUUGUUGUGUGCUUCUUGGUUUUUUUAAAGGAAACCCUUCCAUUCAAUUUAUGGUGUAAAGGUAUCUCAUAUUAUCGAACAGCAAAUGUCAAAAUGUAAAUGAUAUUUUCGUACAAAUGGAAUAUUAGUUUACGACACACACGAAGCAAAAGUUUCAUUUAAUUUUGUAAACGCUCCAUUUUUUCCAGGAAGUCAGGCUUUAUUUGAAGCAGACGUCUUUUGGAUUGAACGCUUGCCAAUGCUUGACCUUACGGUGUCUGGCGCAUAGAACAGAAAUAAUACAUAACUCAUUGUCUAAAUCUAAAAAGAUUGUUCUCAGAAUUUCAUACUUCGCAGGUAUAUCCUUUAAAAGCUUCCUUAAAUGUUUAAUGUCCGUCCAUGUCCUUUCGGCAAAGAAAUAUUUAAGUUAGAUGGAAGAAUAAUUUUUAAGGAAAAAGUUCUAUGCUAAUUGUGUGGUAGAUAUCUUAGACUCGGCGUUAAGCGUGAGUAUUCUUUAUCUAAUCUCUAAUUCUUGUUCCUAAUUUGUUAUAUACAUAUAUAUAUAUAAUUUUCUAUAUAUUAAUGCAAUUGAUAUUUUUUGAUUACCGGCUUUCACACUGAUUUGAAAUUAUAUUUGUCAGACUAAAAGCGUGCGUUUAUUGCUAAAUAAGUAAGUGGAACAAAAGUAUGUCACAAGUUCCAUUAUUAAAUUUAUGAGGAAAAAAAAAAAAAACAGAAAAAAUUCAAUUCAAUAGUUUAUUGCAUAUCUUGAAAUCAUUUGUUGUUAUCCUUUGUAUAUGUAUUUUAUGUUAAGCAACUUUAGAAAAAUUAAUUGCACUGCAUACCCUUUUUAUAUCUACUACACUUUCCAUUUCCUUCAUAUAUCCAAAAUAUUGAAAUAAAAACAAUAUUGGUAACACCGCCUACCAUAGUAAAUGCAACAUUUAUGCCAGCAUUUAUGUACCUUUCACAAUCGUAUUUUGUCGAAUGGCAGUAAAAGCAACAAGAUUUUAUGCAACAAGCAAGCAAUUUUGAAACCCACGACAUCUCUACAAAACAUUAUCAAAUGCAUCUGCACGACCACCACCACCACCACCACCAUCACAAGCCAAGCACUCGGUAACAUUUCUUCAAAUUAUCUUUGUUUGGUAAAUUUUGUUACGUGCCAUCCGUGCAAGCAGAACGCAAGGCAGCAAAAAAAAAAAAAAAAUAAAUAAAAUCCUAAUGUUUGUAUGCGUGUGUUUUUGUGCUACUUAUACUAUUCGAAUUUUUCUUCCACUAAUGCUACACACUACCACCAGCAUCAAAUAUUAUCAUCUUAACUUAACAACAACAACCAUCAUUGCUUGCAAUGAGUUUACGUUCACAUGCGUUGCAAUCAUCCUUGUCCUUCGUAUUCUCCAAACAAACAAAACAAAGAAGAAAAGAAAGAAGGGAAAAGUUAUUACAUACUUAAAGAUAAGGAUGAUGAGGAUGAUGAUGAUGUGUGGCGACCGUCAUUCUGGCCAAUGCUUUGCGUUAUAACAAUAAAUCAGUCAAUGAAAAUUCAUCGGACAUUUUAGUGAAACUGCGAAAUGUACUGCAAUGCGAUUUAUUAGCUCAACCGUAAAGCCUUGAGUUAUCCCCCCCCCCGCUUUUCUGUAAGGGGUGGAGGAGAACUCAACUCCACUAACAUCGCUAAACACCAUCAGUUUGCGCCCCUAUGAAUGUGUAUUUACGAGAACAACAACAACAACAACAACAAAAUGACAUCAGACAAGUUGAGUAAUAAUAACGUUUGCAAAAACAAAACAAAAAAAAAGAAAAGAAAAAAGUGAAAAAAACAUAGCAACGGCAGCAACAGCAGCAGCAACAGCAACUUGUCCCGUCAAUGCCAGCCGUUUAUGUGAAAGUCAUAUGAAUCAAAACUAACGAGAAAACUUUAAUUGAAACCAGCUACAAUAACAGUAACUACAGCAACUACAACAACAAUAACAGCAAGCAUCGAAUAGGGGUAAACAAGAGCAGUCUAUAACAAAACAUUUACUUACAAAUACGAAGACAUUAAUAAAGCACAUAUACAUACAACACAUACAAAUAUAUAUAUAUAUAUAUAUAUAUAUAUAUAUGCACACACACACACGGGCAAUCUCAAUUACUUAAAUAAAUUGAAUAACCGAUUUAAUAAAACAGCAAGAAACAAAUAGUGUCAUCCGGGGUGAGAGUAAGCAGUUAGAGAGUUUUACUGAAAAGCAGAAAAAAGAAAAAAAAGAACAGAAACAAAAACAAAACAAAAAACGCCCGAACAACUCAAAUUAUAACUUUCUCAUUACUUUCUUAUAUCACUUCAAUGUAACGUAAUGUCUGUGCUUUGUUUUUCUUGUUUUUAUUUAUUUAUUUAUAUUUAUAAUAACAUAAUUGAAACUUUUGUCUAAGCAAGAUAAUUAUACAACAUUUUUUUGGAUAGAAGAAUGUACAUGUACACCCAUACAUACAUACAUACAUACAUACAUACAUACAUACAUACAUACAUACAUACAUACAUACAUACAUACAUACAUACAUACAUACGUAGAUACAUACUUAUACACAAGCAUGCGUACAUUAACACUUAUGUAACAGAAUUUUGCUUUAAAUAGCAAAAGUGUUUUCAUGUACGUACGCGCACGAAUGUAUGUAUGUAUGUAUGCAUGCAUGCAUUAAUUGCUAGACAAAUUGAGAUAAAUAAUUUAUGCUUUAUUUAAUGCAUACUUUUAGAUGCAAACAUUAAUUUGCAAUAGGCUGUAUAUAUGUAAAUUGCUUAUGAGACAUGCAAGAAUACGAGGUUUGUUCAAAACAAAAAAUUCAAAAAUUCAUUUUUACAAAAUAUUUUUUUAAUUGCUUUUCAUAUCGUCGUACUUACCUUUGAGUCAUGUCUGUUUAGAAAUCCUAUUUGAAGAAUUGUUUAUCGAAAAGAUUACAUUUGUUUUGCAUAUAUAUAAAUAUGUACUAAUACUAAAUAAUAAAAAUAGUUUAAAUUAUGUGCAAAAACAACUUCAAGAUGCCAUUCAUUACUUAUUCCCUAUCGUGAUUGCACUUUAUUUUAACAAAAACAUUGCUUUACAAUGCAAAAGAAAAUUGCAAUUGGAAAGCAACGAGUAGACAAUGCUCCCUUUCUAUUCUCAAGGCGGAUGCCCGUCAUGCUAGACAUCAAUCAUCUCAGCGCUUUUAUCGUUGGACGAAUAAGGAAUAGAGUAUACCUAAACUAGGACCUUUGAAGCCUGACUGUAACACAAUACCUUAGAAACUCACUUUUACGCUUUAC